rnacentral:lncRNA from 1 species
CUCCCCAAAUUAUCUUCAAAUCCUGUCCUCUCCUGGGCGUUCAGAGGUCGCCUAUGCCGCCUACCACCACUCCAACCACUGUUGACCACCGGCCGGAAAUUGCCUCUAUCGGCGAAGUCAACCAAACAACCUCAAACCAUUAUUUUUCUUCUCCUCUCCUCCCCCUCUACACUCUUCUGCCCCAAAUGUCACUCCAUCAUUACCAAAUUCGAAACCCUAUCCUGUUCGUUCCCUUCUUGAUUUCAUCGACCAUCAUCGAUCAACAAGUCUUAAUAGUUACAUCAUUAGAUAGGUCUUAGAGAGAUCAAUCUAGUAAUUUAAGUAUCUAUUCAUUCAAUGAAUGUCGGUGCCGAUCAACUCAUCAUUGAUCGACCGGAGUUCAUGCAAAAGCCCAUCCAUGCCACUGCCUAACCUCCCAAUAGCCCUUACUCAUGGUAGAUCCACCCAUUGGUGGAAAUUCGUAAGUAAUAAAGCUUUAAACUAGCUAAGUGAAUAUGAAGUUCAAGGUGGUUCUAAUGGAGAAAGGUCCGUUGGUGGUUAGAUACCACCAAAUCAUGCACCAUCUAGUCUCACCUGGUUCUACUUUACUCCGAUAGGUACACUCUUCUCUUUUGUUUCUUUUGUGUUUAUUAUUAUUAUUAUUGUUGUUGUUGUUGUUGUUGUUUGUUAUUGUUGUUGUUGUUGUUGUUGUUUUUGUUGUUGUUGUUGUUGUUGUUAUUUUUUGGUUUCUUUUUAUCUCUACUUAGUUAAGAAAGGCACACAUGACUAUCUACUAAUUUUAUAUUAGUUGUUAACCACGAUUAGUAGCAGCCACUGCAUGUUAAGAGCAUUUAGACUUCUUAAGCGAUUGUUUGAAUGCAUUUGAUGUUGGUCACAUGAUUAAUUAUCACUAAGCAUGUUUAAUUGUGUUAAUUUCAUGUUUUAGUCAUUAACUUCUUUUAACUUUAGUAUUUGGUCACUGUCGUUUAUUAGCAUGACAAAAUAGUUUCUUAACUUGAUUCUGCGAUUUUGUUCAAUAAUGGACAUGCCUUUUAGGAUUUAGGUAUUUCUAAAUUGGACUUAGGAAGUUUGACUGAUUAAGCAAAAGAUUUGAUAAAAGGGGUAAUGGAUCCAUGCCCAAUCUUAUGUGGUCAGGUAGGUUUAAAAUAAAAAAAAGAGAUAACAAUGAUAGGUAAAGUGAAGAACGUAAAAAGGCAUUCCUCAAAAGAAAGCUAAGAAAUACAAAAUGAAUAAAUUAAUGUUUGGCUUGAUCAUCUACUUGCCAUCCCCACGCCGCCCGUGGUCACAAAUUUGAUUCGAAGUUAGGUUUCCAAUUCAUAUCCUCCAAGUGGAGUGAAAAGUAACGGAGUUGGUAAGCGUCGUGCCACGACAUUAAAUGCGGCGCUUGGUAGGAGGCAACCCAUCGUCUCCAAAAUUUUAAGUCAUUUUUUAAAUUUUCAUUUUUAGAAUAGGUUAGUAUAUUAUUUUUGACUAAUCUGCAGAGUUUUAGAAUUUUCAGAGUUGAUUUGAGAAGUUUGAGGUGUUGGAAGAACAACAAACAGUGGAUUCCCAAUUUUCUAUCUAGACUUUAGUUUAACCGCAUCUUCAGAAAUAUUCUCGCAGGUGCAGAACCACAGAAGCGAGAAAAGUAUAGUAGAAGCGAAACUUACACAGAAGUAGAUUCCUAACCGCAUAAGCGGAGCCGCAGAAAUGUUCAAAUAUCUGUAGAUGCGACUCGUCGGAUAAUUUUAAAGAUCCAAUAUGCCCUUCAGCAGGUCAGAGUCUGAACUCUAUUCUCCCAACCCAAAACCCCUCUCAUAUUUCACACAAGGAAACUAUUACUCGAAUCCUACUGCCUACACACAAGGAAAUCAGGUAAUCAUCUUUUUCCCUUUGUCUCUUAGCUACUCUCUCUUUUUCCCCGAUUUUCUUCUUCUCUCGUUAUCUUAUACUUUUAUGCAUAGCUAUUUCCCACAGCCUCUUUAUCCCAUCUCGAUAAUUGUUAGUGUUCGGGUGAGGAAAAUUGGUUAAGUGUAGUUGUAGAAGUCUGAGUACCCGAUUACUUUAAAGGAUCAAAACUCUCUCGUUUCUUGCUAAGUGUUCGGUGAUUUAUUCGAGAGAAAUUUAUGUGCUAAGUGCCUUGAGAUCAUGUGUAAUCAAGUUGUGUAAUCAUGUAGUGCACAAAUUUAGAAGUCUUGAGUAUAACUUUUGUGCCAAAAACGUGAUUUGAAUUGAAAAGAGUCGACAGUUUCUGGGCCCUUCAAAAUCUAGUGAAAAUCGCUUUUGUGAAGUAAAGGCUGCAUAUGCGUCCUGCACCUAUGAUGAAUUGUUAAGCAAGUGCGAAAUUGGCUGAGAUGUGAAAAACCGAAGAAGCAAGACUUUUACCACAUAUGUGGAACCGAACUUGCGAUGAAAGUUCUGCAGGUGCAAGUUUAUGUUGAGCAGUGAAAAUCAUAGAAGCGGAACCGCACCUGCGAUGCUUCUUCCGCAGGUGCGAUGACUGGCCAAUUUUUGCAAAACUAGUAGCUUUGCAACUAUGGCUUGCUCGGCCCAUUUGGCUCGAUUCUUUGGACUAAUUGAUGUAUUUUGAAUUUCUUAACAUGACUAUAAUGCCCGACUAAUUUUGUUUUGAUUUUUUAGGUACUUUGAACUUAAAAUAUGGACCCAAAGAUGAAUGAAAAUAUGGCACAUGAUCUUGAAAUUGAAGAAGAGGCUGUAGAAGAGCAAUUCGACAAUUAUCGCUUCAUGUCCAUUGAUUGUCACCACUGAUACUAUGACAAUCUUCUUAUAAAGAAGGUCCUACUGGAAAAGGGGAUCUUUGGGGAUAGAUUGGCCGAGCUACUUCCAGAUUUCUAUGACCGUCUAUAGACCACUGGUUGGAAUUGUUUCAUGCCUACUCCGUGUGAUGAAAAUUAGGAAUGGGCUUGUGAGUUUUACACCAACCUUAAGUGUAUAAACUUCAACGACCCACAACUCACCAUAAGGGCAAAAUAGUGUGAUUUGGACUUGAGCAGAUCAAUGAUGUUUUUUGGGCUUCCAAAGCAUCCACUUGAGUCGGUAC